rnacentral:rRNA from 1 species
UACGUAGGGUGCGAGCGUUAAUCGGAAUUACUGGGCGUAAAGCGUGCGCAGGCGGUUCGUUAAGUUCGAUGUGAAAGCCCCGGGCUCAACCUGGGAAUGGCAUUGGAAACUGGCGGACUCGAGUGUGGCAGAGGGGGGUGGAAUUCCGCGUGUAGCAGUGAAAUGCGUAGAGAUGCGGAGGAACACCGAUGGCGAAGGCAGCCCCCUGGGUUAACACUGACGCUCAGGCACGAAAGCGUGGGGAGCAAACAGG